UUUUAAUAGAAAUAAUUAUUAAUAAAAUCUGCUCAAUGAAUUUUAAAUAGCCGCAAUAUUUAUUGUGCUAAGGUAGCAUAAUCAUUUGUCUUUUAAUUAAAGACUAGAACGAAAGAUUUCACAUUUAAAUUUCUUUUUAAAAAUAUAUUUUUAAAUUAUUUUAAAUAUAAAAAAAUAUUUAUUUAACAAAAAGACGAUAAGACCCUAUAGAAUUUUACUACAGUUUAACUGGGGAAGUUAUUUAAUUAUUAUUUUAAUAAAAAUAAAACAACAAAAGAUCCGUUAUAUACGAUUUACUAAUUAAAUUACCAUAGGGAUAACAGCGUUAUAAUUUUUUUAAGUUCUUAUAUUAAAAAUAGAUUGCGACCUCGAUGUUGAAUAAUUUUCCUAUUAAAUGCAAUAAUAUAAUUAAGGAAGUCUGUUCGACUUUUAAUUAAUUACA
rnacentral:rRNA from 1 species